rnacentral:rRNA from 1 species
UAAGCACUCCGCCUGGGGAGUACGUACGCAAGUAUGAAACUCAAAGGAAUUGACGGGGACCCGCACAAGCAGCGGAGCAUGUGGUUUAAUUCGAAGCAACGCGAAGAACCUUACCUGGACUUGACAUCCUUCAGACCGAUUCUUAACCGAAUCCUUCCCUUCGGGGACUGAAGGGACAGGUGGUGCAUGGUUGUCGUCAGCUCGUGUCGUGAGAUGUUGGGUUAAGUCCCGCAACGAGCGCAACCCUUGUCUUUAGUUGCCAUCAUUAAGUUGGGCACUCUAGAGAGACUGCCGGGGAUAACUCGGAGGAAGGUGGGGAUGACGUCAAAUCAUCAUGCCCCUUAUGUUCAGGGCUACACACGUGCUACAAUGGCCGAUACAACGGGCAGCGAAAGAGUAAUCUGGAGCAAAUCCUACAAAAUCGGUCCCAGUUCGGAUUGUGGGCUGAAACUCGCCCACAUGAAGUUGGAGUUGCUAGUAAUCGCGGAUCAGAAUGUCGCGGUGAAUGCGUUCCCGGGCCUUGUACACACCGCCCGUCACACCAUGGGAGUUGGAAGCACCCGAAGCCAGCUAUCUAACCGUAAGGAGGAAGCUGUCGAAGGUGAAGCUAAUGACUGGGGUGAAGUCGUAACAAGGUAACCAAGGGCGAAUUCGCGGCC